CUAUUAGGUGUGAGGGAAUGUUAGAGGUAUGAUACUAUUAGGUGUGAGGGAAUGUUAGAGGUAUGAUACUAUUAGGUGUGAGGAUAUAGAGGAAAUGUUAGAGGUAUGAUACUAUUAGGUGUGAGGGAAUGUUAGAGGUUUGAUACUAUUAGGUGUGAGGAAAUGUUAGAGGUAUGAUACUAUUAGGUGUGAGGAUAUAGAGGGAAUGUUAGAGGUAUGAUACUAUUAGGUGUGAGGGAAUGUUAGAGGUAUGAUACUAUUAGGUAUGAGGGAAUGUUAGAGGUAUGAUACUAUUAGGUGUGAGGGAAUGUUAGAGGUAUGAUACUAUUAGGUAUGAGGAAAUGUUAGAGGUUUGAUACUAUUAGGUGUGAGGAAAUGUUAGAGGUAUGAUACUAUUAGGUGUGAGGAUAUAGAGGGAAUGUUAGAGGUAUGAUACUAUUAGGUGUGAGGGAAUGUUAGAGGUAUGAUACUAUUAGGUGUGAGGGAAUGUUAGAGGUAUGAUACUAUUAGGUGUGAGGAUAUAGAGGAAAUGUUAGAGGUAUGAUACUAUUAGGUGUGAGGAUAUAGAGGGAAUGUUAGAGGUAUGAUACUAUUAGGUGUUAGGGAAUGUUAGAGGUAUGAUACUAUUAGGUGUGAGGAUAUAGAGGGAAUGUUAGAGGUAUGAUACUAUUAGGUGUGAGGAUAUAGAGGGAAUGUUAGAGGUAUGAUACUAUUAGGUGUGAGGAUAUAGAGGGAAUGUUAGAGGUAUGAUACUAUUAGGUGUGAGGAUAUAGAGGAUAUGUUAGAGGUAUGAUACUAUUAGGUGUGAGGAUAUAGAGGGAAUGUUAGAGGUAUGAUACUAUUAGGUGUGAGGGAAUGUUAGAGGUAUGAUACUAUUAGGUGUGAGGAUAUAGAGGAAAUGUUAGAGGUAUGAUACUAUUAGGUGUGAGGAAAUGCUCACACCUUGUCUUCUUGCAUUACUUCCCAACAUUAUCUUUGUCCUUGCAAACUGAAACAAGA